UACACACCGCCCGUCAUGCCAUGGGAGUGGAUUGCACCAGAAGUAGGUAGGUUAACCGCAAGGGGGCCGCUUACCACGGUGUGUUUCAUGACUGGGGUG
rnacentral:rRNA from 1 species